rnacentral:rRNA from 1 species
UACGAAGGGGGCUGGCGUUGCUCGGAAUUACUGGGCGUAAAGCGCACGUAGGCGGCUUUCUAAGUCGGGGGUGAAAUCCUGGAGCUCAACUCCAGAACUGCCUUCGAUACUGGAAAGCUCGAGUCCGGGAGAGGUGAGUGGAACUGCGAGUGUAGAGGUGAAAUUCGUAGAUAUUCGCAAGAACACCAGUGGCGAAGGCGGCUCACUGGCCCGGUACUGACGCUGAGGUGCGAAAGCGUGGGGAGCAAACAGG